rnacentral:lncRNA from 1 species
UCCUUUUAAUCAGCAUUAGGGUUUUAAACCCUAAACUGAAUUUUCCUUUUAGUCAGCAUUAGGGUUUUAAACCCUAAACUGAGUUUUUCCUUUCAGCCAACAUUAGGGUUUUAAACCCUAAACUGAGCUUUUCCAUGCAAUCAGCAUUAGGGUUUUAAACCCUAAACUGAAUUUUUCCUUUAGUCAGCAUUAGGGUUUUAAACCUUAAACUGAAUUUUUCCUUUAGUCAGCAUUAGGGUUUUAAACCCUAAACUGAACUUUUUUCCAUUCAGCCAGCAUUAGGGUUUUAAACCCUAAACUGAGCUUUCCAUGCAAUUAGCAUUAGGGUUUUAAACCCUAAACUGAAUUUUCUUUUAGUCAUUAUUAGGGUUUUAAACCCUAAACUGAACUUUUUCCUUUAGCCAGCAUCAGGGUUUUAAACCCUAUACUGAGCUUUUCCUUGCAAUCAGCGUUUGGGUUUUAAACCCUAAGCUGAACUUCUCCCCAGCUAGUCGGUAUUAGGGCUCCAACCCUGAACUGAGCAUUUUUAUCUUCCUUCAUCAAUUUUAUGAACUUUCUGGCGAAUAAUUCACGAAAUUUUCCUAG